ACUGCCGGCCAGCAGGGGGCGCCCCGGUGCCAGCUCCAACCCCUCAGGGGCCAUGGCGGCCUCGGGCGGGAGGGACGAGGCCAAAUCGCUCCUUUGGCAAAAUCACACUUUGCACCAAUCGGUCCCGGCACCAGCACCGGCAGCGCCCGGGCAGAAGAGACGAAGGCAGCAGCUUGGAUCCUGGUGCCCGGUGGCAGCGUAGCAGUGUCCCGGCCCAGGCACACACCCUGCGCAACACCCGCGACCGCUCUCCCUGAUGGGAACGCAAGGAAGGCAGCGCCGAACCCCAGGCAGGUCUCAGGCCCACAGCAGCACCACUCAUGCCUUUCCAUUCCUGAAAACCCUCAGCCUUUCACUGCCUUUUCCUCCUUCAGCCCUGGCACAGCAUCUCUGGGAAUGUUGAAUUCCCCUGGGAUGUUGAGGAAAGCAGGUGCUCCUUGCUGACACUGCCAGGGCUCCUCAGGGGCUCCACAGCACGUUUGGAGCUGCUGCUCAUCCUGGGGCACUGCUGGUGCCGACACAGCAGCCACAGCGGGGGGGAGGAGGAGGAGAGGGAGGAAGAGCAGACCCUCAACGACCUGUGGUAAUUCAGCCUGGGUCUACUGCAGUUCAGCCGUGCUGCUAAACCAUCCCUGUGCACAAACACCCAGCUCUGCUGCCUCUCCUGGGGACUUUGGGCUGCUGUGGCAGCACUGGACACAUUUUGGGGCUCAGGUGCCUCCAGCUCUGCCCACAAGGAGCUGGUUUGGCUGCCGGGAAGGUUUCCUGCAGCUUUUUACGAGUGCUGGGCAUGGUUCAGUGCCUGUAGCUGUGGCCGGUGCUUCACACUGGCCGGCCAGGAAUGCUGAGCUGGAGCAGCUGCUGAGGCAGGAGCGGCUGGAGCAGGUGCCCCACGGGAACAGCACCUGGCCAUGCAGAUGGAGCAGGAGCGCCGGGAACUCCACUCCGGGUGCUCAGAGCCGCCAGCCAGGGGACAGGUGGCCCCAGCAGCGAGUAACAGCCAGUGCCCAUGGCCGGCGACACUGGGAUGGCCGGGAAGGUGGCGCUGCUCCUGUGGGGCUGGUGUCCCCUGUCACCCACAGGUGCCCGGAGCACCCAGCUCCUGGUGGAGCCUCCCUGGACGCCGGCGGUGCUGUGGGACCGGGACACACUGACCUGCCAGUGCUCGGGGACCGCCGGUGCCACCUCCUGGUACAAGGGUGGGUGGCUCUGGCGGAAGAAGGGACCCGAGCGCUUCACUGUCACCGAGAGUGAACAUACACGUAUGGCAGACCUGGCACUGGGCUCAGCCCCUCUGUGAGGGUGUUAAAUGCUAGGAAUACCACUGGACAUCAAGAAAAUCCCUGGACGUCUGUUCGUGACAAGAAAUUUGCGUUUCUGCCCUUCCCAGCGCUGGAGACAUUCCGAGCUUGAUCAUCUACUUGGAUGGGUGAAGUUUUUCCUGCGUCACUCUUGGCUGCUUUUUUUCUUCUGUGUGUUGGGGAGUGCUUUUUUCCCUGUGUGUUUGCUAAAUAAACAAGUUUUUUCCACUUUUCCCCUGAGGAAAUCCUUCCCGAACCCGGUGGGGGGAGGGGGAGGA